GGCUGUCGUUUCAGUGGCACGUGAACCAAGGACAAGUUACAAUACAAACAUUAAUGCAGAUGAUUAACUGCGUACAGGAGUACUUCGAGUUUAAACAGGCUCAGAUUACAAAAGCUUUCAGUAACUUGCUUCAGCUUACUCAGAUAAUAAAACACAGUUAAUGUAGGCGAUACUACCUUGUAAGAUUUCAAGUAUCUUCUGACUCACCAUGAAACAAUCUGGGAUUUAACUGAAGAUUUACCCAAAGAAUCCUAGCAGUAAAUCAGAAUUAAUACAGCUGUAAAGCUGUGCAAAAGACAGGUCUAUCCUCUCAUUAGUGACGGAGUAUGUCAUGAGAAUAUGAAAAGCUGACCUGUAAAAAAGAAUCUACCAAGAAGCAAAGACUGCAGCACACAGAAGAGGAAAGGUAUCAAACAGGGAAGAUGAUCAUCCUCAGGUAUACCAUACAAGUCAAUAUAACAUCAAACCGGAACGUGGCAGGGCAAAUGACGAUGCUAACUUUUUUGGCCAUAUCUUAUAAGGUGAAAUCUAAAAGUAGCACUACCUACUGAAUAGCAACUACGUACAUGCAUAAAAUCUGGUUUCUAUUUCUGUGCCAAAUUUACUACAGUUUUCAACAUGUUACAUCAUGUGUACGCAUUGCUGUUUUCCCAUUCCACUGUCCUGUAGCCAUUAAAACAAAGUGAGAAUACCGGAUGACUUUUAAAUGAACACGCAACUGAUUAGGAGUCCACAGCUACACACAGAUGGAAGACAAGGAUGAUCUAAACAAUCUCACUUACUAGCAUCUUUCAAAAGCAUUCUGAGCAAAACAGCCAGCAAUAUUUUAAGUCAUUAGUCAGCAUGUGAAAAAAAGAAGACCACAGUGUGCUACUUUGUGCUGCAUGAAUAGAGAAGCUCAGCAGUAGCAAAAA